GAUGAACGCUAGCGGCAGGCUUAAUACAUGCAAGUCGAACGGUAACAUGAGUAGCAUUUCUUGCUGACGACCGGCGAACGGGUGCGUAACACGUAUGCAACUUACCUUUAACUGGAAGAUAGCCCCGAGAAAUCGGGAUUAAUACUCCAUAACAUUUCAUUUUGGCAUCACUAUGAAAUUAAAGCUCCGGCGGUUAAAGAUAGGCAUGCUUCUGAUUAGUUUGUUGGUGAGGUAACGGCUCACCAAGACUACGAUCAGUAGGGGGUCUGAGAGGAUGAUCCCCCACACUGGUACUGAGACACGGACCAGACUCCUACGGGAGGCAGCAGUGAGGAAUAUUGGUCAAUGGACGAAAGUCUGAACCAGCCAUGCCGCGUGCAGGAAGAAUGCCCUACGGGUUGUAAACUGCUUUUAUAUAGGAAGAAACCCCUUUACGUGUAAAGGGCUGACGGUACUAUACGAAUAAGCACCGGCUAACUCCGUGCCAGCAGCCGCGGUAAUACGGAGGAUCCAAGCGUUAUCCGGAUUUAUUGGGUUUAAAGGGUGCGUAGGCGGAAUAGUAAGUCAGUGGUGAAAGCCCGCAGCUCAACUGCGGAACUGCCAUUGAUACUGCUAAUCUUGAGUACAUUUGAUGUGGGCGGAAUGUGUCAUGUAGCGGUGAAAUGCUUAGAUAUGACAUAGAACACCAAUUGCGAAGGCAGCUCACAAAACUGUAACUGACGCUGAGGCACGAAAGCGUGGGGAGCGAACAGGAUUAGAUACCCUGGUAGUCCACGCCGUAAACGAUGAUUACUCGAUGUUUGCAAUACACCGUAAGCGUCUAAGGGAAACCGAUAAGUAAUCCACCUGGGGAGUACGCUCGCAAGGGUGAAACUCAAAGGAAUUGACGGGGGCCCGCACAAGCGGAGGAGUAUGUGGUUUAAUUCGAUGAUACGCGAGGAACCUUACCUGGGCUUGAAAGUUAGUGACCGUCCCUGAAAGGGGACUUUCCUUCGGGACCGGUAUCAAGGUGCUGCAUGGUUGUCGUCAGCUCGUGCCGUGAGGUGUUGGGUUAAGUCCCGCAACGAGCGCAACCCCUAUUGCUAGUUGCCAGUGUUAUGGUGGGGACUCUAGCAAGACUGCCGGCGUAAGCCGCGAGGAAGGUGGGGAUGACGUCAAAUCAUCAUGGCCUUUAUGCCCAGGGCGACACACGUGCUACAAUGGCCAGUACAGAGGGUAGCCAACCCGCGAGGGGGAGCCAAUCCCAGAAAGCUGGUCCCAGUUCGGAUUGGAGUCUGCAACCCGACUCCAUGAAGGUGGAAUCGCUAGUAAUCGCGCAUCAGCCAUGGCGCGGUGAAUACGUUCCCGGACCUUGUACACACCGCCCGUCAAGCCAUGGGAGCUGGGGGUACCUAAAGAUGGUGACUUUACGGGGAGCUAUCUAAGGUAAAACCAGUAACUGGGGCUAA
rnacentral:rRNA from 1 species